rnacentral:rRNA from 1 species
CAGCCGCCGCGGUAACACGUAGGGUGCAAGCGUUAAUCGGAAUUACUGGGCGUAAAGCGUGCGCAGGCGGUUAUAUAAGACAGAUGUGAAAUCCCCGGGCUCAACCUGGGAACUGCAUUUGUGACUGUAUAGCUAGAGUACGGCAGAGGGGGAUGGAAUUCCGCGUGUAGCAGUGAAAUGCGUAGAUAUGCGGAGGAACACCGAUGGCGAAGGCAAUCCCCUGGGCCUGUACUGACGCUCAUGCACGAAAGCGUGGGGAGCAAACAGGAUUAGAUACCCCGGUAGUCCCUGUCUCUUAUAC